rnacentral:rRNA from 1 species
GAUGAACGCUGGCGGUCUGCUUAACACAUGCAAGUCGAACGAACUCUUCGGAGUGAGUGGCGGACGGGUGAGUAACGCGUGAGAAUCUGCCUGUGGGUCGGGGACAACCACUGGAAACGGUGGCUAAUACCGGAUGAGCCGAAAGGUAAAAGAUUUAUUGCCCACAGAUGAGCUCGCGUCUGAUUAGCUAGUUGGUAAGGUAAAAGCGUACCAAGGCGACGAUCAGUAGCUGGUCUGAGAGGACGAGCAGCCACACUGGGACGUGAGACACGGCCCACGACUCCUACGGGAGGCAGCAGUGGGAAGUUUUCCGUCAAUGGGCGAAAGACCUGACGGAGCAAGACCGCGUGGGGGAGGAAGGUUUUUGGUAGUCGUAAACCCCUUUUAGUCAAGGAAGAAGCUCUGACGGUACUUGACGAAUAAAGCCUCGGCUAACUCCGUGCCAGCCGCCGCGGUAAU